rnacentral:lncRNA from 1 species
GUAUCCUACCUUAUUUGCAUCACUUAGGACUUAAUGGGGCCUAGGGCUUAGUGCUUAAUGGGGCCUAGGACUUAUAGCUUAUUAGGGCUUACGGUUUAGGGCUUCCGAAUUAGAGUUUGGGGUUUAUUAAGGCUUAGGGCGUAGCACAUAGGGCUUAUUAGGGUUUAGAGCUUAAGAAAAAAGAAAAAAGAGGUGUUAUAAUAUUUUUUUUUUCUCUUCAUCCAAUCUUCUCAUGUAAUCAUCCAGUUAUUUUGCUCUA